rnacentral:rRNA from 1 species
GAUGAACGCUGGCGGCGUGCCUAAUACAUGCAAGUCGAGCGAACGGACGCGAAGCUUGCUUCUCUGAUGUUAGCGGCGGACGGGUGAGUAACACGUGGAUAACCUACCUAUAAGACUGGGAUAACUUCGGGAAACCGGAGCUAAUACCGGAUAAUAUUUUGAACCGCAUGGUUCAAAAGUGAAAGACGGUCUUGCUGUCACUUAUAGAUGGAUCCGCGCUGCAUUAGCUAGUUGGUAAGGUAACGGCUUACCAAGGCAACGAUGCAUAGCCGACCUGAGAGGGUGAUCGGCCACACUGGAACUGAGACGCGGUCCAGACGCCUGCGGGAGGCAGCAGUAGGGAAUCUUACGCAAUGGGCGAAAGCCUGACGGAGCAACGCCGCGUGAGUGAUGAAGGUCUUCGGAUCGUAAAACUCUGUUAUGAGGGAAGAACAUAUGUGUAAGUAACUGUGCACAUCUUGACGGUACCUAAUCAGAAAGCCACGGCUAACUACGUG